rnacentral:rRNA from 1 species
AGUGAACGCUGGCGGUAGGCCUAACACAUGCAAGUCGAACGGCAGCACAGUAAGAGCUUGCUCUUACGGGUGGCGAGUGGCGGACGGGUGAGGAAUACAUCGGAAUCUACUUUUUCGUGGGGGAUAACGUAGGGAAACUUACGCUAAUACCGCAUACGACCUACGGGUGAAAGCAGGGGAUCUUCGGACCUUGCGCGAUUGAAUGAGCCGAUGUCGGAUUAGCUAGUUGGCGGGGUAAAGGCCCACCAAGGCGACGAUCCGUAGCUGGUCUGAGAGGAUGAUCAGCCACACUGGAACUGAGACACGGUCCAGACUCCAACGGGAGGCAGCAGUGGGGAAUAUUGGACAAUGGGCGCAAGCCUGAUCCAGCCAUACCGCGUGGGUGAAGAAGGCCUUCGGGUUGUAAAGCCCCUUUGUUGGGAAAGAAAAGCAGCAGGUUAAUACCCCGCUGUUCUGACGGUACCCAAAGAAUGAGCACCGGCUAACUUCGU